rnacentral:RNase_MRP_RNA from 2 species
UUUGAUCCACAAGAACAGCAUUGGAGAUUAUUUUUAAUUUCUAAGGAAAGUCCUCGGUAAUUAUUAGAGAUAAGACUAUAAACAGUUAUUCUUGUACAUUGUGAAAGUUAUGCUGUUGAGCAUCGAUCUGCUUAACCCAAUGAGGCUUACUCUGUGGAGCAA